rnacentral:rRNA from 1 species
AUGCAGCCGUUGGGCCAGGGCCCGGUGUCGCGGGGCCAGCUUUGCGAUUUGCCUGGCGUCUCGUCUUCCGGCGCGUCCUGCACUACGUCAAGUUCCGGUGGCGGAGGCAGGCUCUGGCGACGGCGCGCGCACCGUCGAGUCGCAAGUCCUGUCCAGUCCUACAGCCUGGGCGACGCCGAUCCUAGCGGCUUUUCGGGCGUAGGCGUGGGCUCGCCAGAGAUGCAGCCGUUGGAUGGGGGGCCGACACUGCAGGGGCAGGGUUGCCUAGUGCCUGAUGUCAACUCCUCCGGCGCUUCCUGUACAACCUUCAGUUCAGGUGCCGGAGGUGUGGCGUCGGCAGGCUCCGGCGACGGGGCGCGCACCGUCGACUCGUGCAGCGCGGUUCAGUCGUACCACCCCGGUGUCCCGACUGCGACAAACACCACCAUCCACGUUGGGUGGAAACGCAGGCCAAGAGGGCCACGCGGCCCAGAUGAGAGGGCAGUAGUAGUUGAUCGUGUGCCGGCGCUUGAAGCUGCUAUCCGAGGAUUCGCUAAUAGGGGAACCAAGGUGGUUGUCAACCCAACGCUUGGUACAGUCUUUGAUUCGCUUGCAGAGGCGUACGAAUUCUUCAAUCUGUAUUCAUGGGAGGUUGGUUUCGGUAUUCGUUACGGCAAGAGCAGGCAGAAUGUCAAUGGGACCAAGUGCAUGCAGGAGAUCGUGUGUGGGUGUGCUGUAAGUUUCUGUAUUUUAUUUUCCCCCGGACUGAAUGAUGAACAGAAGCUGUAA